rnacentral:tRNA from 1 species
GGGGGUAUGGCUCAGUGGUAGAGCACAUGCUUAGCAUGCACAAGGUCCUGGGUUCAAUCCCCAGUACCUCCA